rnacentral:rRNA from 1 species
AGGAUAAACGCUGGCGGCGUGCUUUACCAAUGCGAGUCGUGCGGGCCAUCGAAAGAUGGUCAGCGGCGUCCGGGUGCGUAACACGUGGGUGACCUACCUUGAUGUGGGGGAUACCCGCCCGAAAGGGUGGCUAAUACCGCAUGCGCUCUACCCCCUUUGGGAUAGAGCAAAGCCCGCAAGGGCGCAUUUAGAGGGGCCCGCGGCCUAUCAGCUUGAUGGUGAGGUAAUGGCUCACCAUGGCUUUGACGGGUAGCCGGUCUGGAGAGGACGAACGGCCACAGUGGGACUGAAAUAUGGUCCACAGCCCUAGGGGUUUAGCAGUGGAGGAAUCUGCGCAACGACUGGAAGGUCGGCGCAGCAACGCCGCGGUGGGGGACGAAGGGCCCUUGGGUCGUAAACCCCUGUUCGCUCGGGAAGAAGUACCGUGCGGGAGACUCCCGCAGGGAAGACGGUACCGGGCGAAGGAACGCGACCGGCUAACGUACGUGCC